rnacentral:tRNA from 1 species
ACGUCUCUAGUGUAACGGCAGCAUCACUGGUUCCAACCCAGUUGGUCAGGGUUCAAAUCCUUGGGGACGUG